GCAUCGGUGGUUUAGUGGUAAAAUUAGCCGUUGCCAAGCAUCCUUCGCAGGAUGCGUAGUUUCGGCUAGCCCCGGGUUCGAUUCCCGGCCGAUGCA
rnacentral:tRNA from 1 species